AUAUAAAUAAAAUUAUUAUUAUUAUUAUUAUUAUUAUUAUUAUUAUUAAAAAGAGUGCUUUGGGGGCUUGAGGAAUAGCUUGCUGAGGAGGAAAAUAACAGCUUUGGAAUUGCUAAGAGCCCAGCAGGAUCUGAACAAAAACCCAUCUAGCCCAGCAUCCUGGUUUCUAAAGUGACCCACAAGAUGCUCCUCAGAAGCUUGCAAGCAUGUCAUAAAGUCAGGUUUUUUCCUGCUUUUCAGCAACAGGUAUUCAGUGACACAGGACACGGAGAUCUGCCUAUCAAGGCUUUUUGCCAUUUAUAUGCCUAUUAACCAUGAACAUCAUUGCUUUUAGAGCCAACCCAGGUAAUGGCAGCUAAUUCAGAAAAUUAAUUAUGUGUCAUGUGAAGAAGUACUUACCUAGUUUUCUCUGCUCUGAAAUCUACCAUCCAGUUUCACUGGCUGAUUUAUCAUUAGGUGUAUAGAUUUGGGAUUGUCUCACCAAGAAAUAUAUUACUGCUGUGACCUGGCAUAGGAAAGAGUGGUAUAUGCAACAGCAAUGUCCUCAAAUUUCAUCCCAAUAUUGGAAGGUCUAGCAUUGUUAGGCAGUUUGGAAAGGUGAAUGAAAUUACUUUAUUUAGGAAAUUGACCUCUGUGUUCUGCAGAUCAGUUGCUCUCAUAAUUAAAUAACACACAAUUCGGUGCUACUUAUGCUGUGGAGGGUAAGAAGGUCGAUAAUGUGCACUGGGGCUGGCUUAAGAGAGGUUCUUUUGCUCAUUCUGCAUCACAAACCUUUUGUUCAAGUCAUACUUUGCAAGAUAGAACAGGGAAGUGUUACACAGUGGUUCCUGUGAGCUUUUUGAGUACAGUAGUAGAUUCCUUGAGACUCUAGGAUUUACUGAAGUCAGGAGUUAAUUAUCCAGUAGGUGGCAGUGACAGAGUCUGUGCUGGCUCUGCUACACCAUUAAAUAGAUAUUAGAUGUAUCUUGGUGCAGGGAAGAGUCAAUGCAGGGGAAAUGAUUUCAUCUGCAAUGCUCAUCUAUAAGGGCAACAUGAAUAGACUGAAGAAGUUGCAUUUCUCUUCAGCUUGGUUUUUGGGGAACAAGAUUAUAUCCUUGGUACACUUUCUGUUGUUGAACUCUGACUGGCUGGGGUGGGGGGAACAUGUAAAAGGUAAAGGUACCCCUGACCGUUAGGUCCAGUUGCAGACGACUCUGGAGUUGCGGCGCUCACCUUGCUCUAUGGGCCAAGGGAGCUGGCGUUUGUCUGCAGACAGCUUCCGGGUCACGUGGCCAGCAUGACUAAGCCGCUUCUGGCGAACCAGAGCAGCGCAUGGAAACGCCGUUUACCUUCCCUCCGGAGCAGUACCUAUUUAUCUACUUGCACUUGACGUGCUUUCAAACUGCUAGGUGGGCAGGAGCUGGGACAGAACAACAGGAGCUCACCCCGUCACGGGGAUUCGAACUGCCGACCUUCCGAUUGGCAAGCCCUAGGCUCUGGUUUAGACCACAGCGCCACCCGUGUCCCUUUUGGGGGGAACAUGUAGUAGGGGCUAAAUGAAAUCACCUAAAGUUACAACAACAAUAAGUUUGGCACAAGGAACACUAAGAGCAAAAUGUCUGUUGUGAUUUCAGUUUUCUCUAUCCCUUUCUUUGCAAAAGCCCUAAACAAAUAGUUGACUUAGGAGUAAUAGCUGAAUCCUGAUGGACCCAUGCUUGGGUUUUGUGCUACACGAAUCUAUGACAGGUACAAUGCAGUUCACCUACAUACAAGGUGGUUUGUUUGCAGCAUUUGAUUAAAAAACCGUCAGAACCAAUUUAGAGUAAAUCUAACAAACACUUCACAUGAUGCCUGCCAAAGUGCCCAAUUCUAUGCAACAGACAAUUUUGUAGUAACUAUUUUGUUAAUGGCUUGGCACUAAAAUUAUUUAGCUUGAAGGAAAAGGGGUUGUCAGGGACACUUGAAGCACAGAAUUUUUUAGGUCCUCAUGAAAAACCACCAUCAUUUUAGGGUGAAUUUAUUCUAAUACACACAUGUCUGUGUGCAAUCUCCCUUAAUAUAUGCACUUUUAUUCUAUCUGUAUUUUUCUGCACACUUUAUCCAGUAUAUGCUUUACUCAGCUGGAGCACUGCACUGCGAAAUUCAGAUAAGUGUGAAUUUCAAAGGAUAGCUGCGUUUUGGUUCUCAUGUGGAUUUGGUAGAUCCACUUUAAAUGCGAACUGAUUCAGAUUUCUCCAUCAUACCUAGGUGGAGGUGCAUCCAGCCCAGAACAGUACUGCCAGCCUCUGCCUGUAAAGUCCUGCUAAUGCCACACCACUAGCAUGGGGUCCAUAUUUUGCCUGUGUGGGCCAGCAGAAGUGCAGUUGAUGGACUGUCCCAAACUGAGCUAGUCCCACCCUUGUCAUCUGAUGACAUCAGGCCCAACUGCUAAGUCAGCUCUAGGCUGGUAUAACUGCAGGCUGUUGCCUGCCCACCCCAGCUGGUUCCACCCCAGCUGGUGAAUGCAGUGGUGGCUUAGCCCCUGAAUGCACCCUACUGUUGCUUAAUCGGGAUUUGUAUUUGUCUGCCAAUCAGGAAGCACAGAAUAAAGCAUUACAACUGUCUAUGUCACCUUGCCUUUCUAUCUUAUAUAAUUUUCUGAGCAUGUCUCUUCAGGUGGUU